AGAGUUUGAUCCUGGCUCAGGAUGAACGCUGGCGGCGUGCCUAACACAUGCAAGUCGAGCGGGUGUACGGGAUGGAAGGUUUCGGCCGGAAGCCCCGUGCACGAGUGGCGGACGGGUGAGUAACGCGUGGGCAACCUGCCCUGUACAGGGGGACAACACUUAGAAAUAGGUGCUAAUACCGCAUAACGGGGGGAGCCGCAUGGCACCCCCCUGAAAACUACGGUGGUACAGGAUGGGCCCGCGUCUGAUUAGCUGGUUGGCAGGGUAACGGCCCACCAAGACUGCGAUCAGCAGCCGGCCUGAGAGGGCGGCCGGCCACAUUGGGACUGAGACACGGCCCAGACUCCUGCGGGAGGCAGCAGUGGGGAAUAUUGCACAAUGGGGGAAACCCUGAUGCAGCGACGCCGCGUGGGCGACGAAGCGCUCCGGCGCGUAAAGCCCUGUCAGCAGGGAAGAACAAAGACAGUACCUGACCAAGAAGCCCCGGCUAACUACGUGCCAGCAGCCGCGGUAAUACGUAGGGGGCAAGCGUUAUCCGGAUUCACUGGGCGUAAAGGGAGCGCAGGCGGCACGGCAAGUCUGGUGUGAAAGCCCGGGGCCCAACCCCGGGACUGCAUUGGAAACUGCCGGGCUGGAGUGCCGGAGGGGUAAGCGGAAUUCCUGGUGUAGCGGUGAAAUGCGCAGAUAUCAGGAAGAACACCGGUGGCGUAGGCGGCUUACUGGACGGCAACUGACGCUGAGGCUCGAAAGCGUGGGGAGCAAACAGGAUUAGAUACCCUGGUAGUCCACGCCGUAAACGAUG
rnacentral:rRNA from 1 species